ensembl:lncRNA
AUUGGGGGGGACAGAGAUAGGGUAGUGAAAAUGAUGGCGACCGAUUCAGUGGAGAUAAGAAACCAAACGAGCCCCUGUCCCAUCCCUGACAACAGUCUCAGCACUCUGUCCAUCAAAAUAACGCGGAAAAACCAGGACAGACACUGGAAGUUGCGGUUUAUUUAUCUGCAGUGCUACUUUUUGACCAUUGCAACAAUACUCGGAACUGGAAUCUUAGGUCUUCCAGUAACGAUAGCCCAUGCUGGACUGGUGCCUUUCCUGUUCUCCUUUAUUGUUGGAUUCUUUGUCCAGGCCUUGCUAAUCUACCUGUUUGUGGAGCUUCUUCAGAAAUGUCAGGUGAUGCAGCUGGAAUCCUUAAAGACAGGUGUUGCAGAGUGUAUAGUCAUGGAUCAGGUGGGUGUGGAGGAUCCAGUUCAUACUGAGGAAGAAGAUGAUGACAGUGAAAAUGCAGAAGCAGAUACAGGUUUACUACAGCCGGAUGCAGCAGCUCUGCAUGACCAAGCCGGCAGUCUGCAGCCGAACCUUCAUCUGCUUGGGCGAAUCUUCCUCUCCCGCCCCAUGAGCCAUGCUUUUAACUGCAUUCUCCUCUUCCAAUUCCACAUCUAUGUGAUCCCAGUCUUCACCUGGAGCCUGACUCUUGCUAUUUUACUGGCCCACACAGUUAUUCAGCCAAUCACUUCAGUGCUCACCCUCCUGAAAGGAAUCCUCCUCAUUGUCACGGUAACAGUGAUUCUCUGCAUUUUGCUGUUUUGAUACAUUUUGGCAUAAUUUUCAAGCAUUUGUAAUAAUGAUACAGGGCUUUACUGGGAAUAGCUUUUUAUCAUUAGAAAAAGGAGAAUUCAUGUAAAGCAAAAACAUAUUUGGGAAUGUCGCUAAUGAUAAAGGCGUCUGAUGGCUGUGUCAUGUCCCGAGUAUCCAUCUGUUCGAUAUUUAUGUGACGGUGUUCACUUAUCUAAAAUGGUUUCUCUCUUCAUGAAAGCGCUGAUUUGAUGUAGAAGGUGUUGUUUCAACAGUAAGAUCAUUUUGGCAGCUGCAGCUUGUGCUGUUGUAUUGCAUUAUGCAGAGAGGUGUUUCUGUUAUACAGCCUGCUUUUAUUGAUUUGAAUGGGAUGGACAAAAUAAAGGAAACAUAAAUGAUAAAUGCGAGACAUGAAAUAUCAAACAGAAUUUGAUGUGGGGUUGGAGUUGUGUGAUGUGUGUUCUAGUUGAAUGAUGCCUGUGAAGUAGUUCUGGUUUGUUAGCACAAGUGUAAAUACUGCAGCUUGCUGGAAUUUUGAUGAGGUGAAAUGACACACAUCAUCUCAGACUGCAUGCAGUUCACCCGUUUCCAUAAUGUGUUAUUAUGGGUCAUACUUUUUGUACAGGUAUGCUUUCCCACACGUUCAUUCAGGUCUUUUUUUUUUUUUUUUAAUACAUUACAGUUGCACUGAUGGCCAGUGAGUUGUUU